UAUGCCGCCGCCACCACUUCCCCUACCUCUCGGACGCCUCGUCUCUUCCACCUCCGCCUCCAUCACCUCCUCCCCUGCCUCCGCACCCGACCACGCGCUAUGGACGAGGACGAGGAGGCAACAGCUCGGGAGGCAGGCAAGAGGAAAACGGGAGGGAUCCCCUCCCGAGCCCCGCGCCUCCCCUCUUUCCCACUGCGCCGCCAGCCCCUUUCCCUCCCUUCGCCGCUGCUACAGCUCCUCCCUGAACCCGCGGCGCGCCUUCUUCUCCGACCGUUGUUGCCCGCACUGCUACUGCCGCGGCCUGCUACUGCUCCCCCUCCUCCAGCUCCUCGCCCCAGCGGCGCUUCCUCCCCUCCUCUCAGGCAAGGCGUCUUGGGGUGUGGAGGCGGUGGGGCAGCAGCCAGUCAUUGUCCUGCAGCGGCAGCAGCAGGUCGGCUUCCCCGUUGUGGCGGCGACGCGUCUAGAGGAACCGGUUGCCCUUCUCCUGGAUGAGCGUCGGAGCCGAACAGCCGGAACUGACCAUUGAUGAGCUGGGGCAGCCAUGCCACAUAGGAGGUCGAGGUGGACCAGGAGAAGCUGCACGAGGCUCCAUCGCCUCCUUCUCAAAUUUGGUUUCUCUAUGCCUACAUGGUGUUUGAUGAAAAUCCAAGAAGGACGGGGAGGAUUGAUCUAUGCGGAUAAGAGAAGAAAACUAAAACAUGUUCACUAGAGUGGCCUGGGGUGGCCCGGGAGCUACGAGGAUGGGUUGAUGAGACUGGAUUGGCAGCCGACAGCGAGAGAGGAAGGGUGGUUGUUCCUGCGAUGAGGUGGUGAUGAUUGCCAUAGUGGAAUUUUGUAGGUACGACAGCGACGAACUUUGAGGGCCCCCGGUUUGGUGGCAGCAUGAGCCUCGUGGAGUGUUUUUGUUUCCCCACUUAGACUACUGUUUUGAUUCUCAAGUGUGGAGAUGGAUGUGACUUACCAUGGAGGAAGUGGGUACAAUAUCCAUUUGAAAGAUGCAGCAGGGCCAAAAUAAGUUUCCGGUGCAAUUGGAGCUGCAAGUCAGAUUGGUUUAUACAGCAAUGGAGUGAUUUGUACCCUGCAAAGUUCCCCUUUUGGUUCACUGACACGGUCAACCUAUGUGCACGUAGAUGAUGUUUUGUUUCCCUCCCCAGAAUCUCUGUUCUGUAUUGGUGUUGAUGUUUUCUUCACUUGCACAUGCAAAAACAGUCCGAGACUGAGCUCAGGCCGAGGAUUCUCCCUCGCUCGAGGAUUCCAGUAACUAUGAGUUCUAGGCGAAGAUCUUUGCCAUUCAUCUUGAAAAAGUAUGUUCCGUUCUGUCUAGGAUAGAGAACCAUGAUUAUCACCACUGUUGGAGGAAAAAGCUAGAGCAAUUGUGUUUCUACUUUCAUGCAUUGUGGUUUUCUAUUCUUGGAAGGAUAGAGUUUACAUAUUUCGUAUGCCUAAAUAGUGAAGGUACUUUAUUUUCAUUUAACUGUUUCUAUGCUAUUCUCUCAUUGUCUGUGUUGUCUAAGAAAUUCUUCGAUUUGGAAAGUUGCCAUCUCUCAUUUUUUUUGUUUUACCGCUUUCUUGUGCUACAAUUUGUUAGGCAAAUUUAGCUUUCAAUUCAACAAUUUUCUUGCUUUCUAAAGCAUGUACUACUGUUGAAGUUCAGUAUAUCAAGUAAUAAUAGUGUGUUAAAAUGAAUAAUACACAUUGAGCUAUAUAUAUUUGCUGCAAUUUGGGGCUGCUGUUGUAAUGUGGUAUAUAUCCUCCCUUGUAUUACGUAAGGUUGAAGUGACUGUUUAAUAUUCUUCCGCUCAGCAGCACCAAGUACGUGUUUGCAGCCUUUCUGUGCUACAUGUGAGUUCAGUUUACUGCUAACUGCAGUUGUUUAUAGAUUAGUGUAUUUUGCUGUAGGUUAAAUGGAGUUAGUAAGACCUUAUUUGAUACUGAUCAUAACAUACUAACGGGCUCCAUGUAAUCCCAAGUGCAUUGCACAACAAAUUGUCAUUUUGCAAGAUCUUCUAGAGAGCUAUAUGUCCUAUGCUCCUCUUGAUGACAUAUAUGAGGACUCACAACCUGAGCCUGGAAUAUCACUCCAAUUUUAAGUUGCCUGUUUUGCAUAAAGGUUGGAUAUAUGGUGACAUGGUAAAGCUGAUUUGGGAAAGCGGGUGUAGAGUGUGCAUAAGUUAAGAAAACAAUUUAUAAUCUGUGAUGUGAUCAUUGCAUUUUAAUUUAGUAUAUGUGAUCACCUCAAGUAGGGAAGUACUGAAUGCACCUCUCUGUCAAGUGCAUGUAUCAGGGUACCAUUUUUUACUCAACCGAUUUAACACAGGGCAUGAGA